UCUUAUGUAGUUCAGUGCUACGUAGAGCACUUGCCUACUGUGCAAAAGGCUCUGGGUUUGAGUCCCAGCAGAAAAA
rfam:Ictidomys tridecemlineatus contig007370, whole genome shotgun sequence.